UACGGAGGGUGCGAGCGUUGUCCGGAAUCACUGGGCAUAAAGGGCGCGUAGGCGGCGCGGCGAGUCAACGGUGAAAGCUCGGCGCUCAACGCCGAGUCGGCCGUCGAUACUCCCGUGCUCGAGCACUGUAGAGGCAGGUGGAAUUCCGGGUGUAGCGGUGGAAUGCGUAGAGAUCCGGAAGAACACCGGUGGCGAAGGCGGCCUGCUGGGCAGUAGCUGACGCUGAGGCGCGAAAGCGUGGGGAGCAAACAGG
rnacentral:rRNA from 1 species